GGAUGCUCUGAUGGUGAUAUAGCUGCAAGUUUCGAACCACUGACCGUUAUUUCUAUCUUUCUGGAGAUGAAGAAGAUGAAGAGGAUACAAAAUCUCCGCCAUAUUAUUGUAUUUGUUUAAUUGGAUAGCGUCUACAAUGUUACCUGCUCAUCUCAUUCAGGUUUAAAUCUUCAUCAAUAUAUGGCCAACUCUUUGCCUUCCUUGAGAUAAAUCUUCUAUAGAAGGUUAGCAACCUUUUUUUUUUCUUAUGAGAGUCGCAUCAUCAUGGGUUCAGGUUUAAGAUAUGCAUUUUUUAUUCUUUGUGGCAUGAAAGGUGAAAACUUCCGGUCAUCAAAUUGAAUUUUAUUUUGUAACUGCAACAAUUUUGAUGCAAACAAUAUGGAAUUGAUAUAUCUCAAAAGUAAGCUAUACUCAGUAUUUGUCUUAGCAUCAUGCUUAGAGAGAAGGCCCUGAUCUCAUGUGACUUAUCUUAUUCUUUAUAGUUAUUUCAUAUUUUCAUACGGGAAUGACAACAAUGGACUCUAAUGUGUCUAAGAAAACUUAUUAGCAUUGCCAUUCAUGUGCGCAGAAUAUGUGUUUCACUUAUUCUCUAAAGAAGGUUCAUUUAGAAAGAGUUAUGUAGUCACUUCAUAUAUCUGAUGUUGAUUAGCUACUCCCUUCCCCAGUUCUAUGAGGAUGGAUGUCAACUAAGAAUCUGAGCUAGAGUAGCUUAGGGUGGACGGGUAUGAAUAGUUAUUAUAAACAUGUAAUUGCAGCAGCUCCUCUUAUGUAAGAAGAUUCAGCUUCUAAAGUGAUUGCUGAACGACAAGCUGUUCCUGACCCUCUGCUUUAGUAGUGGAUCAAGUUGAGGUCCUUGAGGAUAACUGUAUGCAAGAGUUCCAAAAGUCAAAUAGACAGCACUAAAGUUUACAUACAGAAGAAGAUAAGGGAACUGUAUAUUAUAAUUCGGAAAGUCAAUCUACAUCCAGUUGAUUAACAUGGACUUCUGCCAGGUGCUGGAGGUGCAACGAUGUGACGUCCCUAGAACUUUACAGGUCCGGUUGAAUGCGAUAUGUGGGACUUGACCUGUUCCCCUUCUCCUCAUUGCUGUUGACAAGUUUAUCCAUGUAACGGUGCAGACAUAUGGAUAGAAACAACGAAAAGGGCUUCUUCACUCAGGAAUCAUGUUCAAGGAAAGUGACUUUGUUGACUCGCAACUUGAUUAACAUGAAUCAUUCACUCUAGCCCACUCUACCAUGUUCCCUUUUGCUUUUCUCCAUUCACUACAUCGCCAUCGACCCAAGGAUAUGCUUAGUGAUGUCGUUACUGUUUCACGACUUAAUCCACUUUUGUUUUGUGCAUGUUUUUGUGGUGUGUGUUCCCCGUCUUGUCAAUUUGUUACAUGCUUUAACACCAAAAAGUGACUAUAUAUAUUUAUUUCAAUCAAAGAUUCAAGUUGUUUAUCUUUUUGUGAAGCAUCCGCAUCAUAUUAAUAUGGCAUUACAAAUUCGAGUUGACUAUGGAUCUGUCAUCAUUGAAUGAAGUUGGUUGUUGAAUUUAACUAAAUCUUCUUUUAUGUUUCAUAGUUUGAGGAAAUGGCGUCAAACAACACUUUGUUGUCGCACAAGAUCUUUGAAGUGGGAUCUAUCUGCUAUGCAUUGCUCUAAAUACAUUUACAUGGACAUCUAUGGCUGAUGAAGUAAUGCUAGUAUUUUAUGGAGUACAGUACUAGUAUAAACACACAUUUUUCUUUUAUUUUUGAAAGAAACGACAUGUAAUCUUUAGGUUGUGGAUCUAAUUCAAUUUUCUAAAUUGGAAUCAUUUUAUUUAUCGUGUGUA